rnacentral:rRNA from 1 species
UUCGGGACGCCGGCGAGUGGCGAACGGGUGAGUAACGCGUGGAUACCUGUCCCAUGGUGGGGAAUAACGUUUAGAAAUGAACGCUAAUACCGCAUAAGCCCUGCGGGGGAAAGAUUUAUCGCCAUGGGAGGGGUCCGCGUCGGAUUAGCUAGUUGGUGGGGUAAAGGCCUACCAAGGCGACGAUCCGUAGCUGGUCUGAGAGGAUGAUCAGCCACACUGGGACUGAGACACGGCCCAGACUCCUACGGGAGGCAGCAGUGGGGAAUAUUGCGCAAUGGGGGAAACCCUGACGCAGCGACGCCGCGUGGGUGAAGAAGGCCUUAGGGUUGUAAAGCCCUUUCAGUGGGAACGAUGAUGACGGUACCCACAGAAGAAGCUCCGGCUAACUCCGUGCCAGCAGCCGCGGUAAUACGGAGGGGGCUAGCGUUGU